AGAGACAGUGCUGCUUUCUGCAGAAAAGGUUAAUCCAGGCAGUUCGCACGGAAGUAAAAAAGAUUCAGAAGAGUCAACAUGGUGGCAGCAGCGAUGGAAUUCAGAAGCAAACCUCUCUCAUUCUGUUCUACCUCACAAGAGUGUGCUCUUUCUCUUAUAUUUGAAGGAGGACUCAAAUGUAAUUUCCUUCAGCUAGUAAAUACG